ACAGCCAUAUUACAUUGAAACACCAGUUCUCAUAUGAUCACCAAAGUUAAGCAACAUCAAGCCUGGUCAUUACUUAGAUGGGUGAUCACUUGGGAAUACCAGAUGCUGCAAG